rnacentral:snRNA from 1 species
AGUCCCAUCUUCAUACCCA